rnacentral:rRNA from 1 species
CUGAACCAGCCAAGUAGCGUGAAGGAUGACUGCAACAUGGGUUGUAAACUUGUUUUAUAAAGGAAUAAAGUCGGGUAUGCAUACAAUUUUGCAUGUACUUUAUGAAUAAGGAUCGGCUAACUCCGUGCCAGCAGCCGCGGUAAUACGGAGGAUCCGAGCGUUAUCCGGAUUUAUUGGGUUUAAAGGGAGCGUAGAUGGAUGUUUAAGUCAGUUGUGAAAGUUUGCGG